UAGGGAAUCUUCGGCAAUGGACGGAAGUCUGACCGAGCAACGCCGCGUGAGUGAGGAAGGUUUUCGGAUCGUAAAGCUCUGUUGCCAGGGAAGAAGGGUAAGGAGAGUGACUGCUCUUUACUUGACGGUACCUGAGAAGAAAGCCCCGGCUAACUACGUGCCAGCAGCCGCGGUAAUACGUAGGGGGCAAGCGUUGUCCGGAAUUAUUGGGCGUAAAGCGCGCGCAGGCGGUUCUUUAAGUCUGGUGUAUAAGCCCGUGGCUCAACCACGGGACGCACUGGAAACUGGGGGGCUGGAGUGCAGGAGAGGAAAGUGGAAUUCCACGUGUAGCGGUGAAAUGCGUAGAGAUGUGGAGGAACACCAGUGGCGAAGGCGACUUUCUGGCCUGUAACUGACGCUGAGGCGCGAAAGCGUGGGGAGCAAACA
rnacentral:rRNA from 1 species